rnacentral:sRNA from 1 species
GAGACAAAAUUGACAAUUGUGAGACAAAAUUGACUUUUGUGAGACAAAAUUAACAAAAUUGAAUUUUGUCUCACAAAACUGAAUUUUGUCUCACAAAAGUC